rnacentral:rRNA from 1 species
AUUGAACGCUAGCGGGAUGCUUUACACAUGCAAGUCGAACGAGUGGCGGACGGGUGAGUAAUAUAUCGGACCGUGCCCUGUAGCGGGGGAUAACUACUCGAAACAGUCGCUAAUACCGCAUACUCUUGGAUCGGCCCAUAUCGGAUUAGCUAGUUGGUGGGGUAAAGGCUCACCAAGGCCACGAUCCGUAGCUGGUUUGAGAGGACGACCAGCCACACUGGGACUGAGACACGGCCCAGAAGCCUAAGGGAGGCAGCAGUGGGGAAUAUUGGGCAAUGGGGGAAACCCUGAUCCAGCCAUGCCGCGUGUAUGAGAAGGCCUUCGGGUUGUAAAGUACUUUUGGCAGAGAAGCGGUAUCUGCAGAAUAAGCACCGGCUAACUACGUGCCAGCAGCCGCGGUAAUUC